AUCAUUAGUGAAAUUGAAUAUGUUAGCGGACCUCUUCGGAGUCCCUAGCAUCAAAUCGUAUCCAUAACACCUGUGAACUGUAAGGCUGUCUUGAAAACGAAAGUGAUUAGAGCGCCUGCCCAUUUUAUACAAACAUUAAAGUAACAAACGUAGUCUUAUUAUAAUCUAAUAAAACUUUCAACAACGGAUCUCUUGGCUCUCGCAUCGAUGAAGAACGCAGCGAAAUGCGAUAAGUAAUGUGAAUUGCAGAAUUCAGUGAAUCAUCGAAUCUUUGAACGCACCUUGCGCUCUUUGGUAUUCCGAAGAGCAUGCCUGUUUGAGUGUCAUGAAAAUAUCAACCUUGACUUGGGUUUAGUGCUCUUGUCUUGGCUUGGAUUUGGCUGUUUGCCGCUCGAAAGAGUCGGCUCAGCUUAAAAGUAUUAGCUGGAUCUGUCUUUGAGACUUGGUUUGACUUGGCGUAAUAAGUUAUUUCGCUGAGGACAGUCUUCGGAUUGGCCGAGUUUCUGGGACGUUUGUCCGCUUUCUAAUACAAGUUCUAGCUUGCUAGACAUGACUUUUUUAUUAUCUGGCCUCAAAUCAGGUAGGACUACCCGCUGAACUUAAGCAUAUCAUA
rnacentral:rRNA from 1 species